rnacentral:rRNA from 1 species
CAGUCGCCGCGGGAAUACGGAGGGGGCUAGCGUUGUUCGGAAUUACUGGGCGUAAAGCGCACGUAGGCGGCUUGGUAAGUUAGAGGUGAAAGCCCGGAGCUCAACUCCGGAAUUGCCUUUAAGACUGCCGAGCUAGCAGGUGAGAGAGGUAAGUGGAAUUCCGAGUGUAGAGGUGAAAUGCGUAGAUAUGCGGAGGAACACCGAUGGCGAAGGCAAUCCCCUGGGCCUGUACUGACGCUCAUGCACGAAAGCGUGGGGAGCAAACAGGAUUAGAUACCCCCGUAGUCCCUGUCUCUUAUAC